UAAGGAUUACUUUAGAUCCAACCAGUUCUGGCUUGAAACAAGCCAGAUUUCCAACCCAUUUUAGCCAUUUUUUAUAAAGUUUCACCUAAAAUAAGAGGAGUGACCCAUAGCUUUUAAAAAAUAACACAGAGUCCUGCCAAUGUAGACUUCAUGUUUGCCAGAUUUCAUAACUAUAUGACCAUCUAUAUCAAAAAUAUAAGAAGGGGGUCAAAAGGGGGAUGCUGUUAACCCUUUUCAUGAAGGCAAAAGGCAGCUGGAGGGAUGAUGGUACAAGGAGGGUUUUCCACAUACUGGUGGAAUGAUGGUACAAGGAGGGUUUUCAAUUUCAGAACAUUUUGUAAAGUUCUGGCUUGAAACAAGCCAGAUUCACCAUUUUUAGCCAUUUUCAACAAAAGUUUCAAAAAAUUCACCACAAAUCAGGGAAUUUACCAGUUUUCUUCAAAUUCACAUGCGUGGCACAUUUCAAGGUGUUAGGACCAACCAGUGAUUUUUUCCUUUGAUUUCUCUAUUUACUUCUAUGGGGGGAAAUGGUGCCACUUUGCAAAUUCUGAAAUUUUGAAGUAUUUCCAAAAUUAAUUUCAACAUUUUGGAAUUAAUUCAGAAUUUACUGAUCUGAUUUUUAAAAAGGAUUUGGAUUUUAAUUUUUUUUUACUAAAUUGGGGCAGUUUUGGACAAAAUCUGUAUUUUAAAAUCUGAAUUUGCACAGACCUACCAUUUGGUUUCUUUCUUGGAGGCAACAGCAUCACAACUUGUUUUUUUUUUAAGCAGGAAAUGACUUGACAUGAAAUGCAUGGUUUUCAAUCAGUUUAAGAAACAAACUAACUCAUAACAAAAAGUACAGCGAUGCACAUUGUUGCAUUGUUUCAGGAAGGAGGAAGUGUGAAAGAUCACAGAUGGUCACCUUCAACAUGAAGAUCAAAAGACAAUUUAUAAGGAACUACAAUCUAUCCAUUAUCCCGAGAGAGAGAGAGAUACUUCUCUAAACAUCCUUACCUCCGGCGGUGGAGCUGUGGGACGCUCCGGUGAGGC